CCAAUAGCGUAUAUUAAAGUUGUUGCAGUUAAAAAGCUCGUAGUUGAAUUUCGGGGUCAGUAGGCUGGUCGUGCCACAGGUGUGUACUGGUCUCACUGAUUCCUCCUUCCUGAUGAACCGUAAUGCCAUUAAUUUGGUGUUGCGGGGAAUCUGGACUGUUACUUUGAAAAAAUUAGAGUGUUUAAAGCAGGCUAACGCUUGAAUACAUUAGCAUGGAAUAAUGAAAUAAGACGAUCGAUCCUAUUUUGUUGGUUUCUAGGAUUGACGUAAUGAUUAAUAGGGAUAGUUGGGGGCAUUAGUAUUCAAUUGUCAGAGGUGAAAUUCUUGGAUUUAUUGAAGACUAACUACUGCGAAAGCAUUUGCCAAGGAUGUUUUCAUUAAUCAAGAACGAAAGUUAGGGGAUCGAAGACGAUCAGAUACCGUCGUAGUCUUAACCAUAAACUAUGCCGACUAGGGAUCGGAUGAUGUUAAUUUUUUAAUGACUCAUUCGGCGCCUUACG
rnacentral:rRNA from 1 species